rnacentral:rRNA from 1 species
UAUACAUGCAGUCGAGCGGAUGGAUUAAGAGCUUGCUCUUAUGAAGUUAGCGGCGGACGGGUGAGUAACACGUGGGUAACCUGCCCAUAAGACUGGGAUAACUCCGGGAAACCGGGGCUAAUACCGGAUAAUAUUUUGAACUGCAUGGUUCGAAAUUGAAAGGCGGCUUCGGCUGUCACUUAUGGAUGGACCCGCGUCGCAUUAGCUAGUUGGUGAGGUAACGGCUCACCAAGGCAACGAUGCGUAGCCGACCUGAGAGGGUGAUCGGCCACACUGGGACUGAGACACGGCCCAGACUCCUACGGGAGGCAGCAGUAGGGAAUCUUCCGCAAUGGACGAAAGUCUGACGGAGCAACGCCGCGUGAGUGAUGAAGGCUUUCGGGUCGUAAAACUCUGUUGUUAGGGAAGAACAAGUGCUAGUUGAAUAAGCUGGCACCUUGACGGUACCUAACCAGAAAGCCACGGCUAACUACGUGCCAGCAGCCGCGGUAAUACGUAGGUGGCAAGCGUUAUCCGGAAUUAUUGGGCGUAAAGCGCGCGCAGGUGGUUUCUUAAGUCUGAUGUGAAAGCCCACGGCUCAACCGUGGAGGGUCAUUGGAAACUGGGAGACUUGAGUGCAGAAGAGGAAAGUGGAAUUCCAUGUGUAGCGGGAAAUUUGGCU